rnacentral:rRNA from 1 species
CAGCAGCCGCGGGAAAACGGAGGGUGCAAGUGUUAAUCGGAAUUACUGGGCGUAAAGCGCACGCAGGCGGUCUGACAAGUCAGAUGUGAAAUCCCCGGGCUUAACCUGGGAACUGCAUUUGAAACUGUCAGGCUGGAGUCUUGUAGAGGGGGGUGGAAUUCCAGGUGUAGCGGUGAAAUGCGUAGAGAUCUGGAGGAAUACCGGUGGCGAAGGCGGCCCCCUGGACAAAGACUGACGCUCAGGUGCGAAAGCGUGGGGAGCAAACAGGAUUAGAUACCCGAGUAGUCCCUGUCUCUUAUAA